rnacentral:rRNA from 1 species
GAUGAACGCUAGCGGCAGGCUUAACACAUGCAAGUCGUGGGGCAGCGCGGACUUCGGUCUGGCGGCGACCGGCAAACGGGUGCGGAACACGUACGCAACCUCCCUCAGAGCGGGAAUAGCCUCUCGAAAGAGAGAUUAAUACCCCAUAGUAUCUUGAAGACACAUGUCUAUGAGAUUAAAGCUUCGGCACUUUGAGAUGGGCUGCGGCUGAUUAGGUAGUUGGUAGGGUAACGGCCUACCAAGCCGACGAUCAGUAGCUGAUGUGAGAGCAUGAUCAGCCACACGGGCACUGAGACACGGGCCCGACUCCUACGGGAGGCAGCAGUGAGGAAUAUUGGGUCAAAUGGAGGAAACUCUGAACCAGCCAUGCCGCGUGGAGGAUGAAGGUCCUCUGGAUUGUAAACUCCUUUAUAAAAGAAGAAACCCCAUUUUCUAAAUGGGUUGACGGUACUUUAUGAAUAAGCACCGGCUAACUCCGUGCCAGCAGCCGCGGUAAUC